GAUGGACGCUAGCGGCAGGCCUAACACAUGCAAGUCGAGGGGUAGAAGGAGCUUGCUCCUUUGAGACCGGCGCACGGGUGCGUAACGCGUAUGCAAUCUACCUUGUACAGGGGAAUAGCCCAGAGAAAUUUGGAUUAAUGCCCCAUAGUAUAUAACCUUCGCAUGUUGGUUAUAUUAAAGUUCCAACGGUACAAGAUGAGCAUGCGUCCCAUUAGUUAGUUGGUAAGGUAACGGCUUACCAAGACGAUGAUGGGUAGGGGUCCUGAGAGGGAGAUCCCCCACACUGGUACUGAGACACGGACCAGACUCCUACGGGAGGCAGCAGUGAGGAAUAUUGGUCAAUGGUCGCAAGACUGAACCAGCCAUGCCGCGUGCAGGAAGACGGUCCUAUGGAUUGUAAACUGCUUUUAUACAGGAAGAAACCCUCCCACGUGUGGGAGCUUGACGGUACUGUAGGAAUAAGGAUCGGCUAACUCCGUG
rnacentral:rRNA from 1 species